rnacentral:misc_RNA from 1 species
GAAUUGCGAAAAGUAUUGUGAUUUGCAACAUUCGUGAAUCAUUGAAUUCUUGAACGCACAUUGCACCAUGUGGGCAACUGCAUGGUCUGCGUGUCUGAGUAUUGAUUGUCUAUUCUCACCCAUGUACAGUGGGUGGAUGAUGGAUGCUGCACAGUCGUGUGCUGUGGCAUCUGCAAUGCACACAGUGAGCCUGCUGUGCUACCAAUCAUGUGGAAUCAUAUUCUGAUGUGCUUGAUUGGCAGCUGGGUCUCAUUGCUGAGUCAAUCACACUUUACGGUAACAAUCUCAGAUCAGGCAGGAUUACCCGCUUAACUUAA